UGGGCAACCUGCCCCCAGACUCAGGGAUAACCCCGAGAAACCGGGGCUAAUACCCGAUACUCCGGUCGAACCACAUGGCUCGAUCGGGAAAGCUCCGACGGUCUGGGAUGGGCUCGCGGCCUAUCAGCUUGUUGGUGAGGUAACGGCUCACCAAGGCUUCGACGGGUAGCCGGCCUGAGAGGGCGACCGGCCACACUGGGACUGAGAUACCGGCCCAGUACUUCCGUACGGGAG
rnacentral:rRNA from 1 species